AGAUCAUGGUGUGGACACCCUCCGAAAAUUUUUUUGUAUCUCUCCCAUGCUUCAUGGAAUGAUUCGCUCUCUUUUUGGGAAAAGGAAGCGAUGUCUUUCCUUAAUCG